CCCAGACUCCUACGGGAGGCAGCAGUGGGGGAUAUUGCACAAUGGGGGGAACCCUGAUGCAGCGACGCCGCGUGGGUGAAGAAGUAUUUCGGUAUGUAAAGCCCUAUCGGCAGGGAAGAAAUUGGACGGUACCUGACUAAGAAGCCCCGGCUAACUACGUGCCAGCAGCCGCGGUAAUACGUAGGGGGCAAGCGUUAUCCGGAUUCACUGGGUGUAAAGGGAGCGUAGACGGCCAUGCAAGCCUGGAGUGAAAGCCCGGGGCCCAACCCCGGGACUGCUCUGGGAACUGUGCGGCUGGAGUGCGGGAGGGGCAGGCGGAAUUCCUGGUGUAGCGGUGAAAUGCGUAGAUAUCAGGAGGAACACCGGCGGCGAAGGCGGCCUGCUGGACCGCGACUGACGUUGAGGCUCGAAAGCGUGGGGAGCAAACAGGAUUAGAUACCCGAGUA
rnacentral:rRNA from 1 species